rnacentral:rRNA from 1 species
UACGAAGGGGGCUAGCGUUGCUCGGAAUUACUGGGCGUAAAGCGCGCGUAGGCGGCUUGUCAAGUCAGGGGUGAAAUCCCGGGGCUCAACCCCGGAAUUGCCUUUGAAACUGCCAAGCUUGAGUGUCGGAGGGGAUAGCGGAAUUGCUAAUGUAGAGGUGAAAUUCGUAGAUAUUAGCAGGAACACCGGUGGCGAAGGCGGCUAUCUGGACGACAACUGACGCUGAGGCGCGAAAGCGUGGGGAUCAAACAGG